ensembl:snoRNA
AUCCUUUUGUGGUUCAAAAGCAUGAUUGGGUUUUCAUGCUCAUGUGUGAGUUGUGGCUCCCUCAAACCUUAUUAGGAUAUCGUCACAUUACCCAUUUGACG